rnacentral:other from 1 species
GUUUCGCAACGUAGGCUUAAGCGUCUGAUAUUCUGCCCUCUGGCAUUAUCGGUUAAGUCAAUGUUGCGAUGUUGUGUUUGCAUAUUGUCCGAGUUGUGUCGGACAGGUAGUGAAUCUACCAUUUACUUCUUUUUUGUUUGACCUGUCUGUCAAAGUUUGAUUCUUAGCACUGCGCCCCAACGCAGUGCUUUUUUUU